ACGGAGGAUCCGAGCGUUAUCCGGAUUUAUUGGGUUUAAAGGGUGCGUAGGUGGUUUGAUAAGUCAGCGGUGAAAGUUUGCAGCUUAACUGUAAAAAUGCCGUUGAAACUGUCAGACUUGAGUGUAAAUGAGGUAGGCGGAAUGCGUGGUGUAGCGGUGAAAUGCAGAGAUACCUGGCAGACCUCCGAUGGCGAAGGCAGCUCACUAAGCUACAACUGACACUGAAGCACGAAAGCGUGGGGAGCAAACAG
rnacentral:rRNA from 1 species